rnacentral:snRNA from 1 species
GGAUGUGAGGGUGAUCUGGCUGUGACAUCUGUCACCCCAUUGAUCGCCAGGGUUGAUUCAGCUGAUCUGGCUUGCUAGACGGGCAUUCCCUUCCUCCCUCACCACUCCAUGUGUGUCUCUCCCGAAGCUGAAUGCUCAGUCAAAGAGGAUGACCUUCCCUGAUAGAGGAGGACCAUUCUUUAGUCAAGGGUAUACAAUAGCUGUGCUCCCCUGAUGGAGCCUCCAAACAAGCUCUUAAGAAAUGCCUUCAGAUGACUUCAUGUCCCGCUUCUUACUUUCUAGGAAUUGAAGGAGCAAUUAUGUCACCU